UGGAAGUAGCCGUUUCUUGAUUGCUUUUAGUUGCUGUUAAUCGUGGUCGUCCCGAAGCUUCCGUUCGUCUCUUGCGUCUCCCGCGGUCCCGCGCUUUCAGCCCUCCACCACCACAACCGCUCGCUCUCCCGCCGGCGCUCUCCACCACCACCGCUGCUCGCUCUCCAGCCGGUGACCUCCACCACCACCGUCGUGCCCCGAAGUGAAUGGCAAUCUGCGAGCGAGGGUUUUAAUCGAGGAGUCGAUUCAUCUCAAGCUGCAUUAUCUACGACUCUAAAUAUCGUAAGUUACCUUGAGGGUUUUCUCCCCAAAACUUCAAGAUCGGUGGUUUCAUGGAGUUGAAGUUUUAAUUGGUUGCUAAAGGUGGAUGUUAGGUUGCUUGAGGAACAAGCUUUCUUGUACGUUUGGAGGCUCUGAAUCAAACAUUAUUUUACACAGUGGGGACAA